CGCGUAGGUGGUUAGGUAAGCGAGAUGUGAAAGCCCCGGGCUUAACCUGGGAACGGCAUUUCGGACUGUCUGACUAGAGUGUGGUAGAGGGUAGUGGAAUUUCCUGUGUAGCGGUGAAAUGCGUAGAUAUAGGAAGGAACACCAGUGGCGAAGGCGGCUACCUGGACCAACACUGACACUGAGGUGCGAAAGCGUGGGGAGCAAACA
rnacentral:rRNA from 1 species